CCUACGGGAGGCAGCAGUGAGGAAUAUUGGUCAAUGGCCGGGAGGCUGAACCAGCCAAGUCGCGUGAGGGAAGACGGCCCUACGGGUUGUAAACCUCUUUUGUCGGGGAGAAAAGAGAGUCACGUGUGACUCAUUGAGAGUCCCCGAAGAAAAAGCAUCGGCUAACUCCGUGCCAGCAGCCGCGGUAAUACGGAGGAUGCGAGCGUUAUCCGGAUUUAUUGGGUUUAAAGGGUGCGAAGUCGGAGGUGCAAGUCCGCGGUCAAGUUGCGGGGCUCAACCCCGGACUGCCGUUGAAACUGCAGCCCUUGAGUGCGCGAGAAGUAUGCGGAAUGCGUGGUGUAGCGGUGAAAUGCAUGGAUAUCACGCAGAACUCCGAUUGCGAAGGCAGCAUACCGGCGCGCAACUGACGCUCAUGCACGAAAGCGUGGGUAUCGAACAGGAUUAGAUACCCGGGUAGUC
rnacentral:rRNA from 1 species